rnacentral:rRNA from 1 species
GACGAACGCUGGCGGCGUGCUUAACACAUGCAAGUCGAGCGGUAAGGCCCUUUCGGGGGUACGACGAGCGGCGAACGGGUGAGUAACACGUGGGUGACCUGCCCUCCAGCUCUGGGAGUAAGCCUGGGAAACCGGGUCUAAUACUGGAUAUGACUCCAUGACGCAUGUUGUGGGGUGGAAAGCCUUGUGCGGCUGAGGAUGGGCCCGCGGCCUAUCAGCUUGUUGGUGGGGUGAUGGCCUACCAAGGCGACGACGGGUAGCCGGCCUGAGAGGGCGACCGGCCACACUGGGACUGAGACACGGCCCAGACUCCUACGGGAGGCAGCAGUGGGGAAUCUUGCGCAAUGGGCGAAAGCCUGACGCAGCGACGCCGCGUGAGGGAUGACGGCC